rnacentral:rRNA from 1 species
UACGUAGGGGGCAAGCGUUGUCCGGAUUUAUUGGGCGUAAAGAGCGUGUAGGCGGCCAUGCAGGUCCGUUGUGAAAACUCGAGGCUCAACCUCGAGACGUCGAUGGAAACCUCAUGGCUAGAGUCCGGAAGAGGAGAAUGGAAUUCCUGGUGUAGCGGUGAAAUGCGCAGAUAUCAGGAAGAACACCCGUGGCGAAGGCGGUUCUCUGGGACGGUACUGACGCUGAGACGCGAAAGCGUGGGGAGCGAACAGG